rnacentral:rRNA from 1 species
GACGAACGCUGGCGGCGCGCCUAACACAUGCAAGUCGAACGGAGUCAAGAGGAGCUUGCUUUUCUUGACUUAGUGGCGAACGGGUGAGUAACGCGUGAGUAACCUGCCCUGGAGUGGGGGACAACAGUUGGAAACGACUGCUAAUACCGCAUAAGCCCACGGAUCUGCAUGGAUCUGCGGGAAAAGGAUUUAUUCGCUCUAGGAUGGACUCGCGUCCAAUUAGCUAGUUGGUGAGGUAACGGCCCACCAAGGCGACGAUUGGUAGCCGGACUGAGAGGUUGAACGGCCACAUUGGGACUGAGACACGGCCCAGACUCCUACGGGAGGCAGCAGUGGGGGAUAUUGCACAAUGGGGGAAACCCUGAUGCAGCGACGCCGCGUGGAGGAAGAAGGUUUUCGGAUUGUAAACUCCUGUCGUUAGGGACGAUAAUGACGGUACCUAACAAGAAAGCACCGGCUAACUACGU